GACUAGCUUGACCCAGUAAUUAGCCACAACCACAUCACGAGGCUUAGCCUAGGGAAUAGAGUCUGUACCACGACAGUCAUAGCAUAGGACCAGGCUUUACACCACGAGGCUAUCGCGGACCCUCACUGGAAUUCAUCUUGGGAACUAAUUUAGCCUCUGCAUCGUUGUAAUAUUGCGGAGGCUCACUGGAAUUUUCCAUCGACACUAAAAUCACAUGGGAUGAUGCAGAGCUCAAUGCG
rnacentral:lncRNA from 1 species